UGGACGGGUGAGUAACGCGUGAGAAUCGGCCCUCAGGUUGGGGACAACCAUUGGAAACGAUGGCUAAUACCGAAUAAGCCGAAAGGUGAAAGAUUUAUUGCCUGGGGAAGAGCUCGCGUCUGAUUAGCUAGUUGGUGGGGUAAAGGCCUACCAAGGCACCGAUCAGUAACUAGUCUGAGAGGAUGGCCAGUCACACUGGGACUGAGACACGGCCCAGACUCCUACGGGAGGCAGCAGUGGGGAAUUUUCCGCAAUGGGCGAAAGCCUGACGGAGCAAUACCGCGUGGGGGAGGAAGGCUCUUGGGUCGUAAACCUCUUUUCUCAGGGAAGAAAUAAAUGACGGUACCUGAGGAAUCAGCAUCGGCUAACUCCGUGCCAGCAGCCGCGGUAAUACGGAGGAUGCAAGCGUUAUCCGGAAUGAUUGGGCGUAAAGCGUCCGCAGGUGGCAGUGUAAGUCUGCUGUCAAAGGUCAGGGCUUAACCCUGAACAGGCAGUGGAAACUACACAGCUAGAGUGGGUGGGGGCAGAGGGAACUCCCAGUGUAGCGGUGAAAUGCGUAGAGAUUGGGAAGAACACCGGUGGCGAAAGCGCUCUGCUAGGCCGCAACUGACGCUCAUGGACGAAAGCUAGGGGAGCGAAUGGGAUUAGAUACCCCAGUAGUC
rnacentral:rRNA from 1 species